rnacentral:rRNA from 1 species
CGCCCUUCGGGGUGCAGCAGGCGCGAAACCUUUACAAUGCACGCAAGUGUGAUAAGGGAACCCCAAGUGCUUAUGCUUUGCAUAGGCUUUUUUCAAAGGUAAAUACUUUGAAGAAUAAGUGGUGGGUAAGACCGGUGCCAGCCGCCGCGGUAACACCGGCGCCACGAGUGGCAAUCACUUUUAUUGGGCCUAAAGCGUCCGUAGCUGGCAUUGUAAGUCUUUUGUGAAAUCGUCAAGCUUAACUUGACGACGUGCUUAAGAUACUGCAAUGCUUGGAACCGGGAGGAGUCAGAGGUAUUCUGAGGGGAGCGGUAAAAUGCUAUAAUCCUCAGAGGACCACCUGUGGCAAAGGCGUCUGACUAGAACGGAUUCGACAGUGAGGGACGAAAGCCAGGGGAGCGAUCCGGAUUAGAUACCCGAGUAGUCCUGGCCGUAAACGCUGCGAGCUAGGCGUUGCAGAUUCUACGUGAAUCUGCAGUGUCGUAGCGAAGGUGUUAAGCUCGCCGCCUGGGAAGUACGGUCGCAAGGCUGAAACUUAAAGGAAUUGGCGGGGGAGCAC